rnacentral:sRNA from 3 species
CUAUCUGCGAUAUGGAAGAUUCGAACCUGCCGCAGGUUCGGGUCGAACGCAGUGAGACAACGGAGCCGUUUACGGCGACGGCCCGAAGGGCGAGCAAAGCGAGUCAUCCUGCACGACCCACCA